ensembl:lncRNA
CGUCAUGUGUCACAGCUGGCUGAAGGUAGGAGUCAAACGUAGGGAGUUGCUUGAUUGUAAUUUAUUGCACAAAGGAAGCCAGCACAAAAACAAUGCCUAGGCUGGCAAGAACUGACACUGGGUAACUGUAAACCCAGAAACUCAUUCAAUUCAUUGGAGUUCAUUUGUUUCAUUUUGGGAGAUAUUUUCUGAAACAUCUUUUUGGUUGUCUACUCACCACAGUGGCAGGUAGUUUUGGCAUAUCUAUGCAACAAAGCAUAGAUUACCAGCAUUUAAAGGCUACCAGGUGUUAAUCUCCUACUCUGGUGGCUACCCCUACAACCACCCACCAAUGUUGUGGCUAUAUGAAACUUCCGCAAGAGGUGGGGGUCCAGGAUGUCGGAGCCUGGGGGCACCAGCAGAGGGAGCCCCUGGAGAGAGAGCCAUGACACCAUGUCUAUUAUAUGGCUCAAAUUUGGGACUGCUUUUUUUGGGUUACCUCUAAAUUCUAUCAUGACUGGCAGUGCAUUUCAAAAUGCAUAAUGGGCUGUGGAGAGGGAAGAUCUGUGUAGAGCCAGCGCUGUUCUUCUAUACUGUAACUCGAAUGUCAGCAUGUGCAUAAGUCAUGACAAAAGGAUGUCGUCUGGUGAGCACAUUUAUUAUCCAAUACAGUUUUUUACGAUUGUUUACACACUAAAAUAGAAAUUCUACUCCAAUGAGUAAAACACCUCCACUGAUUUGCACAACAUUACACACAAUGUCUGCUUCACCCUUUUGGCAAAACAUUACACACUGAUUUGUAAAACUCUACACACAUUUUCACACCUUAGACACAGAUAAGGAUUGUGAGGUUACUUCCUUGUCAUUACAAAGCCCCGGAUUGCCAAUGACCACACUAAUGAACAAAUUGGAUAAUCACAUCCACCAGGUGUGAACGCACACGUGCUAAUUUGAUUACACAGCACUCAAAUGCUGUAAAAGGCAGCAGGUGAGUUCACCUGUCUUCAACAAAAAUGGAAGGAGCUAGAAGAAGAAGAAGAAAAAUAAGAGUGAGAAUGAGAGGGGGAGCUCAAAGAGGAGAUGAAGGAGGUAGAGAAAGAGGAGAAGAAGGAGGUAGAGGAGGAGGCCCAGGUAGAGGAAGAGGAGGAGAAGAAGGUAGAGGAGGAGGCCCAGGUAGAGGAAGAGGAGGAGGCCCAGGUAGAGGAAGAGGAGGAGGUAGAGGAUGAGGCCCAUGUAGAGGAAGAGAAGGAGGUAGAGGAAGAGGAGGUGAAGGAGGUAGAGGAAGAGGCCUAGGUAGAGGAAGAGGAGGAGAAGGAGGUAGAGGAAGAGGCCCAGGUAGAGAAGGACUUGAAGAGUUGAUAGAACCUGAACAAAGAAGACGAGGACCAAAUUUGACUCAAGAAAUCUGUGCAACAAUUAUUGACCAUGUUAUCAACCAUGGACUGACACUGAUGGAAGCUGGACAAAGAGUUCAACCAAAUCUCAGCAGAAAUACUGUUGCGUCAGUAAUUCGGACAUUUCAUUGCGGAAAACAGAUAAGCUAACCACACAGUACAUUGAAACUGAAGCUUGCUGUACUUA